CCAUAUUUCGUUUUCUCUUUCGUUUUCGGUCUCAGAACUCUUUUCGUCAAAACACCUCCAUCACCUCCGCCAUGAUUAAACCAAGACGUCCACCAUGAAAGAAGAACAACGGCUACCACAAAAAUCUAAGAUUUCAAUCCAGGCAAAAAUGAUAGCAAAGAUCUUUUUGACAUACUGGAGUCAAAUAAAUUGAAUACUCAUUUCAAAGAACUCAUGGUGGCCUCACAAUGGAAGGAGGUUGCAGAAUGAUUUUGCAGGUUGCACCCUGCCCAAAUCUUAAGUUGAUGAGAAAAUCGUAAGAAGAAAUUUAAGCAUUGGAGACUCUUCAUGAGAGCCUUAUAAUAUCGAGCAAGCUUCGGCGGUGGAUUGAUACCACAGUGGAUGGCAGUCAACAAUACUUCCUCAACUUCGACAGUUGAUUGAUACCACAAUCGUUGGUUGUCAACAAUCCAAUCUUUAUCGAGGCUGCAAAAUUAGUUAUGUAAAUGACUGCUUUAAAUUGAGAUGUUUAUCGUUCUGGAAUAAGUGGAUGCAAUGAAAUUGCGUUUUCUUUUAAGAAAUGUUUAUAUGCAUCACAUCUGCUAACAAUUAUGUUUUGAAAAGUUUUUGAACGAAACAACAGGCAUCAAUUCACAAACAGCAGGCGCAUCGCGCGUGCGUGUUAUACUAGUAUGUUGAAAAUAACCAACUAAUAAAGCAUCUAAUUGCGUC